GACGAACGCUGGCGGCGUGCCUAGUACAUGCAAGUUGAGCGCUGAAGGUUGGUACUUGUACCAACUGGAUGAGCAGCGAACGGGUGAGUAACGCGUGGGGAAUCUGCCUUUGAGCGGGGGACAACAUUUGGAAACGAAUGCUAAUACCGCAUAAAAACUUUAAACACAAGUUUUAAGUUUGAAAGAUGCAAUUGCAUCACUCAAAGAUGAUCCCGCGUUGUAUUAGCUAGUUGGUGAGGUAAAGGCUCACCAAGGCGAUGAUACAUAGCCGACCUGAGAGGGUGAUCGGCCACAUUGGGACUGAGACACGGCCCAAACGCCUACGGGAGGCAGCAGUAGGGAAUCUUCGGCAAUGGACGAAAGUCUGACCGAGCAACGCCGCGGGAGUGAAGAAGGUUGUCGGAUCGUAAAACUCUGUUGGUAGAGAAGAACGUUGGUGAGAGUGGAAAGCUCAUCAAGUGACGGUAACUACCCAGAAAGGGACGGCUAACUACGUG
rnacentral:rRNA from 1 species